AGCGAACGCUGGCGGCAGGCCUAACACAUGCAAGUCGAACGAAGUCUUCGGACUUAGUGGCGGACGGGUGAGUAACACGUGGGAACGUGCCUUUAGGUUCGGAAUAACUCAGGGAAACUUGUGCUAAUACCGAAUGUGCCCUUCGGGGGAAAGAUUUAUCGCCUUUAGAGCGGCCCGCGUCUGAUUAGCUAGUUGGUGAGGUAAAGGCUCGCCAAGGCUACGAUCAGUAGCUGGUCUGAGAGGAUGACCAGCCACAUUGGGACUGAGACACGGCCCAAUCUCCUACGGGAGGCAGCAGUGGGGAAUCUUGCGCAAUGGGCGAAAGCCUGACGCAGCCAUGCCGCGUGGAUGAUGAAGGUCUUAGGAUUGUAAAAUCCUUUCACCGGUGAAGAUAAUGACUGUAGCCGGAGAAGAAGCCCCGGCUAACUUCGUGCCAGCCGCCGCGGUAAAAC
rnacentral:rRNA from 1 species